CCUCGAUUUCAUUCCUUCUGGUAAUUUUUCCAUUUACCCAUUUCGUUUUAGUCUCUGUGAAUACCAUUUGAAGCUGCCCCAUGAUUGUAAACCUGAUUUGUGCGUUCCUCUUAUGUGGGUUUUCGUUGAUAUGCUCGUUUCAGCUUCGAAGUUCCAUUUUUGGGCUACAUUGGUUCAUAUAUGCUUAAAAUUUGAGAAACAGUUGAUGGAAUCGAAAUCUCCCACUAUAUAGAAGUGUUGUUUUCUGUAAUGAUAAUGCCUACAAUGGUUCUCGAAUCACUGUCACUGCUAAUUCCUUUGUUAUUAUGUUGUAUUUGUAUCUCAUUUAGUUCAAGUGUCCAACGUUGUGUCUUAUACCAGAGCAAAGAAAACUUCCGGCCCAACGUGCGAAAUACAAAUAUACUGGAUGUGUUGCCAGAUUAUAGAAAAGAAGCAGAGGAUCAUCUCUCAAAAGCUGGUCCAAACAAGCAGAUACUGUCAACUUUCGAUGCUUGAAAGAAAAAUGUGUUAGAUUAAAUAUAGCGGAAACUAAAGAACUCAACAUAUCCAAUCAACCACUAACCUUGAGAAGACAUUGCAGCAGAAAAAUAAAGGUACCGACAAUGAGGCAGAACUUGUUGAUGAAAGCAUUCAACAUGCCAAGGAAGCCAUAACUCUUGAUGUCAAGGAUGGGAAUUCAUGGUGUAAGAUCUAAAAAAGUUCUAUAUUCUUCGGUUUUGAGUAAGAUUUAUACUUGAUAAGUUGUAUAGCAUGUAACACUUAGUUCGGUUUGCCAUUUACCUUGGAUGUUUGCUAGCGUGCUUAUGGUUGGCUUAGUUUGACUGCUUGAUGAUACGUUUGUGACUGGAGAUGCAUGUCUUGCAAGUUUCUUUGUGACUGGAACUUGGGACCAUUCGAAACUUCUGCAAUCUUUGAAGGCAUACCAAAAUGCUAUGAGUGCGUAAAGUAAUCUGUUUCCUGCUGAUGGAUCUUCUGUGGUUAUGGGUGUCUCAACGAUCAUGUUUAGGGGAGCUAUUCAUUUGUAUAUAUGUUGUAUUUCUUGUAAGUAUGGAUCUUCUGCGGUUAGAAGAUGCUCUAAUGUUUUAUGUUGCGUAUCAGGAAAAGGAUGAAAGAAUGCAGUCCAAUCCAGACCUAUAUUUUAACUGUGCUACUGGGCAUGCUAGAUCUAAACGACUUUUGUCAUUAGGAUCAUCUCUGGCUGCUGUAAACUUGAACUCCUCAUAUCGAAGAGCUACUGUAGAUAUUCUAUCAGAGGGUCUGAACUGAACAAAUCAGUAGCACUAGUGGGAAAAGUGCUAUUCUUUAUUAAGCAUGACAAUGUUGCUCCACUGUACUACGUGGCAUGCGAUUCAAAUCAAAUAUGCUUCGUCGUGUCAGUUUAUGGCAUUCAAUAUGAUUCCGCAAGACUUAGCAGCGUAAGAAUAAAAGGAGAAAUAGAAACCACAUACUUUCUUACAUCCCAAAUACGGAUUGGUUUGACCUUCAUUUGUAUUGAGCAAAUAUGUUAUCGUCUCUCACCAAUUCAAAUGCUUAAGGGUCAAACUGUACCUUGUUCUCACAGAACAAAGAAGGAGAUCAGCUAACAAUACUGGAACCUUUUCAUCGGCAUUUCAACUUUUCUUGGUAAGAAAAGUUGUACGAGUUCAAAUCAUUACAUGUGGAUUUCAUAGAACAGUUGCUUGUGAACGGAAAGGCACUUGCUCCUCACGAAAGCCGUCCGUACCUCAAUUUAUGCACGCACAAACCAUAUACUGGUUUCGAGUGAAAUAUUUGCAAGUAUUGUACUUUUGCUUAGGUUUUGUUUGUCUGCCCGUGAGUUUUUAUGCUGUAUUCUUUGUGAAUAGAAUAGGGAAUGAAGAAGGACAAGGUGAAAUGCCAUCAGUGCAGAGAACAGGAAAAUACUACUACAUUUUAAUGGAUUUUUCUUUUGGCCCUCUAUUUGGAUGGAGACUUUUUUUUUGUGGUCAAAGGUAGAGAAUAAUAUUACUCUAAUAUUUA